rnacentral:rRNA from 1 species
AGCGGCGGACGGGUGAGUAACGCGUGGGAAUCUGCCCUUUGGUGUGGGACAACCACGGGAAACUGUGGCUAAUACCGCAUGAGCCCGAGAGGGGAAAGCAGCAAUGCGCCGAAGGAUGAGCCCGCGUCGGAUUAGCUUGUUGGCGGGGUAACGGCCCACCAAGGCGAUGAUACGUAGCUGGUCUGAGAGGAUGAUCAGCCACACUGGGACUGAGACACGGCCCAGACUCCUACGGGAGGCAGCAGUGGGGAAUAUUGGACAAUGGGGGAAACCCUGAUCCAGCCAUGCCGCGUGAGUGAUGAAGGCCCUAGGGUUGUAAAGCUCUUUCGGCGGGGACGAUGAUGACGGUACCCGCAGAAGAAGCCCCGGCUAACUUCGUGCCAGCAGCCGCGGUAAUACGAAGGGGGCUAGCGUUGUCCGGAAUUACUGGGCGUAAAGCGCGCGUAGGCGGCCUAGCAAGUCAGGUGUGAAAGCCCGGGGCUCAACCUCGGAAAUGCGCCUGAUACUUCUAAGCUCGAGACCGGAAGAGGAGAGCGGAAUUCCCUGUGUAGAGGUGAAAUUCGUAGAUAUUGGGAAGAACACCAGUGGCGAAGGCGGCUCUCUGGUCCGGUUCUGACGCUGAGGCGCGAAAGCGUGGGGAGCAAACAGGAUUAGAUACCCUCGUAGUCCACGCCGUAAACGAUGAGUGCCAGACGUCGGGGGGGUUCGCCCUUCGGUGUCGACGCUAACGCAUUAAGCUCUCCGCCCUGGGGGAGUACGGCCGCCAGGGUUAAAACUCAAAUGAAUUGACGGGGGCCCGCACAAGCGGUGGAGCAUGUGGUUUAAUUUGACGCAACGCGAAGAACCUUACCAGCCCUU